AUAAAACUAUGCUCUUCUGUACAGAAGUAUCACAAAUAGGUAAAGUUGUAUCACCCUGGCGUAUUCUAUUUCCAGUGAUGUAAAUGUUUGUAGUUCCUAUGGAUUUUCCUAUUUUUGUGCUAUAAAAUUAUUUUACAAACUAAACAUUUGAUUUUCUUUUGUUUGAUAGUAAUAAGAAAAUACUUUUAAAUUCUAACCCAAAUGUAAGGAGAGGAAAGCAGCAAUCAAAACUGAUUCACAGGUGCAGGAUACAGUGGUGUGCAAAGGUUUUAUGCUUAAUUUCCCUAAAACGUUUUAAAAUAAUGAAACUGGGAUAAGUAUGGAUGUAUUUGUAGAUAAUGUGAUCACUUUUCAGCU